AAAAUGUAUCAACGCGGUACUCUUAAUUGGUCCGCCAUCUUCUUUGAUUCAUUCGUUCGUAUUUUUUAUUUUCUUCGUCAAUGAUUCAUCGGAGUUGUUUUAUACUCUCCGCCUUUAUAGAAUUGUGAAUUUAUCUCACUAGAAAUAGAUCUCGAUCGAUAUAUUUCUUAGAAAUUGCGCCACAUCGAUAAAUUUAAUGACAAUUUUUCCAAACUUUCCCGCCAUUUUUCUGAGCAUGUAUUACUACGCCUCAUGGUAGAAGGGAUGAAUGUAGAUGUUUUUGUCGCAGUGAAAAAUAGUUCCAGGUACUUGCGAACGAACAGCCUCCCCCUUGAUAUGCUACGUCCCCAUUUAAAAAAAUCAAUACUUAAUAAUUAGCAAUUAAUACACUUUCCAAGUAUACAUAUACAACUGCUAUCUUAUUUUCUGCAGUUUUUAAUGAGAAUUAUGCUCUUAAGGUUAAUAGAUAAACGAAUGUUUCGAACAUAAGUUAUUUUUAUGAAUUUAUAUCAUUUGUCUCAGUAACAAAAAUUAAAUUUUGCUUCAUACAAAAAAUACAAGUAAUUAACCAAUUAACUCAUACCUUUUAUUGAAUAAAAAAUACAAUUAAGGUGAAUAAUUGAAUAUAAACGGAAUUAUCGUAUAUACGCAUUAUCUCAUCAUUACUUAAUAAACAUAUCUUUUAAUAUAAUUUGUACUGUAAUGUUUAACAGAAAUAUAUAUAAAUCAAAAGUGAAAUAUAUUUAAUGAAACAUGUUAUUGUUGUAACAUGGUAAUUUGUUAAUGUAUUAAGCAUAUAUUUAUUAAAUAAGUAUGAACUAUUAAUAAAAAUCACGAAAUUGAUUAAUUUAUAAA